UACGGAGGGUGCAAGCGUUAAUCGGAAUUACUGGGCGUAAAGCGUGCGCAGGCGGUUUGUUAAGUCCGUUGUGAAAGCCCCGAGCUCAACUUGGGGAUUGCAGUGGAUACUGGCAGGCUGGAGUACGGUAGAGGAAGGUGGAAUUCCCGGUGUAGCAGUGAAAUGCGUAGAUAUCGGGAGGAACACCAGUGGCGAAGGCGGCCUUCUGGACCAGUACUGACGCUCAUGCACGAAAGCGUGGGGAGCAAACAGG
rnacentral:rRNA from 1 species